CCUACGGGAGGCUGCAGUCGGGAAUAUUGCACAAUGGAGGAAACUCUGAUGCAGUGACGCCGCGUGCAGGAAGAAGGUUUUCGGAUUGUAAACUGCUUUAGAUAGGGAAGAUAAAAGACUGUACCUAUAGAAUAAGCUCCGGCUAACUACGUGCCAGCAGCCGCGGUAAUACGUAGGGAGCAAGCGUUAUCCGGAUUUAUUGGGUGUAAAGGGUGCGUAGACGGGAAUUUAAGUUAGUUGUGAAAUCCCUCGGCUUAACUGAGGAACUGCAACUAAAACUGGAUUUCUUGAGUGCGGGAGAGGAAAGUGGAAUUCCUAGUGUAGCGGUGAAAUGCGUAGAUAUUAGGAGGAACACCAGUGGCGAAGGCGACUUUCUGGACCGUAACUGACGUUGAGGCACGAAAGUGUGGGGAGCAAACAGGAUUAGAUACCCGAGUAGUC
rnacentral:rRNA from 1 species